UGGCUAAGAGGUUAGGUUGGUGGAGGUGUUUUUAUUUGUGUUACCUUUUGCAUCAUGAUUUGUUGAGGUUAAGCUUUUAUAAGUGUGCCCGAAAGGUAUUGAUUUGUGUUGUUCUAGGCGUAUACCAGGUGACGUGUAGUUCUUGGCAAAGAAUGACGUGGUUGUGAUAAAUAAUUCGGAAUACCUGAUAUCUGGUUGAGAUGUGUCUUGUUGGUUUGAAGGGAGUUGGUUAGGAUAUCAUCUUUCUUUUAAGAGCUUUUUGUGAGAUUCUUAUCGAAAGGGGUUAGAAUUACCCCUGUCUUGAGUGUGUACUAUAACUCUCUUAUGAGUUAUCUAGCUUUACUGGAUUUCAUCUCUAAUAAACUUGGUACCUGUAAUUAUGGCAGAAUAAGUAGGGUUGGAGUAGUCCUGUUCUUUCUCGAUGUUCUUCGGUCUGUUUAUUAAAAACAUUUCCAUUUGGAAUUUUUGAAUGGUAGUACCUGCCCAGUGCACUAUGUAAAUGGCCGCAGUAUCCUGACUGUGCUAAGGUAGCAUAAUUAGUUGCCUCAUAAUUGGGGGAUUGUUUGAAAGGUUUGACUUGAGGAUUAAAUUAGAUUAGGGCUAAAUUUGAAAUUAGAUUCGGGGUGCAGAUCCCCUGGAAUAGUAAUAAGACGGAAAGACCCCGAGAUCUUUAUGUUGUGAUGUUUGUUUGGGGCAAAAUUAUAUGUUUUAUGUAGUUUUAGAUCCUGUAUAGAUAAAAGGUGUAAGUUACCUCGGGGAUAACUAGGUAAAAAAUAAGGAGAGGCCUAAUCGAUUUAUUUAAUUGCCAUCUCGAUGUUGACUUAGGAAUAGCAGGGAGGUGUAGGAGUUUUUUUGCUAGGUCUGUUCGACCGUAGUUUCCUUCAUGAGUUGAGUUAAGACCGGCGUGAGCCAGGUCGGUUCUUAUCUAUUUGUGGUGUAGAUUAGUACGAAAGGAUUGUUUACACUUUAUGUU
rnacentral:rRNA from 1 species